GAUGAACGCUGGCGGCGUGCCUAAUACAUGCAAGUCGAGCGAACGGACGAGAAGCUUGCUUCUCUGAUGUUAGCGGCGGACGGGUGAGUAACACGUGGAUAACCUACCUAUAAGACUGGGAUAACUUCGGGAAACCGGAGCUAAUACCGGAUAAUAUUUUGAACCGCAUGGUUCAAAAGUGAAAGACGGUCUUGCUGUCACUUAUAGAUGGAUCCGCGCUGCAUUAGCUAGUUGGUAAGGUAACGGCUUACCAAGGCAACGAUGCAUAGCCGACCUGAGAGGGUGAUCGGCCACACUGGAACUGAGACACGGUCCAGACUCCUACGGGAGGGAGCAGUAUGGAAUCUUCCGCAAUGGGCGAAAGCCUUACGGAGCAACGCCGCGUGAGUGAUGAAGGUCUUCGGAUCGUAAAACUCUUUUAUUAGGGAAGAACAUAUGUGUAAGUAACUGUGCACAUCUUGACGGUACCUAAUCAGAAAGCCACGGCUAACUACGUG
rnacentral:rRNA from 1 species